UUCCGGUUGAUCCCGCCGGAGGUUACUGCUAUCGAGGUUCGACUAAGCCAUGCGAGUCGAAUGUAGCAAUACAUGGCGAACUGCUCAGUAACACGUGGACAACCUGCCCUUAGGACGGGGAUAAACCCGGGAAACUGGGUAUAAUACCCGAUAGGUCUCGAUUGCUGGAAUGCAUCGAGAUUUAAAGCUCCGGCGCCUAAGGAUGGGUCUGCGGCCUAUCAGGUAGUAGUGGGUGUAGCGUACCCACUAGCCUACGACGGGUACGGGUUGUGAGAGCAAGAGCCCGGAGAUGGAUUCUGAGACACGAAUCCAGGCCCUACGGGGUGCAGCAGGCGCGAAAACUUUACAAUGCUGGCAACAGCGAUAAGGGAACCUCGAGUGCCAGGUUACAAAUCUGGCUGUCGAGAUGCCUAAAAAGCAUUUCAUAGCAAGGGCCGGGCAAGACCGGUGCCAGCCGCCGCGGUAACACCGGCGGCUCGAGUGGUAACCGUUAUUAUUGGGUCUAAAGGGUCUGUAGCCGGCCGGAUAAGUCUCUUGAGAAAUCUGGCAGCUUAACUGUCAGGCUUUCAGGAGAUACUGUCUGGCUCGAGGCCGGGAGAGGUGAGAGGUACUUCAGGGGUAGGGGUGAAAUCUUGUAAUCCUUGAAGGACCACCAGUGGCGAAGGCGUCUCACCAGAACGGACCUGACGGCAAGGGACGGAAGCUAGGGGCACGAACCGGAUUAGAUACCCGGGUAGUCCUAGCCGUAAACGAUACUCGCUAGGUGUCGGCCACGGUGCGACCGUUGUCGGUGCCGUAGGGAAGCCGUGAAGCGAGCCACCUGGGAAGUACGGCCGCAAGGCUGAAACUUAAAGGAAUUGGCGGGGGAGCACCACAACGGGUGGAGCUUGCGGUUUAAUUGGAUUCAACGCCGGG
rnacentral:rRNA from 1 species